AUUGAACGCUGGCGGCAUGCCUUACACAUGCAAGUCGAACGGCAGCACGGGUGCUUGCACCUGGUGGCGAGUGGCGAACGGGUGAGUAAUACAUCGGAACGUACCUUAUCGUGGGGGAUAACGCAGCGAAAGCUGUGCUAAUACCGCAUACGCCCUGAGGGGGAAAGCGGGGGAUCGCAAGACCUCGCGCGAUUAGAGCGGGCGAUGCCUGAUUAGCUUGUUGGUGGGGUAAAAGCCCACCAAGGCGACGAUCAGUAGCUGGUCUGAGAGGACGAUCAGCCACACUGGGACUGAGACACGGCCCAGACUCCUACGGGAGGCAGCAGUGGGGAAUUUUGGACAAUGGGGGCAACCCUGAUCCAGCAAUGCCGCGUGAGUGAAGAAGGCCUUCGGGUUGUAAAGCUCUUUUGUCAGGGAAGAAACACCGGCUCUAACACAGUCUGGGAAAGACGGUACCUGAAGAAUAAGCACCGGCUAACUUCGUGCCAGCCGCCGCCGUAA
rnacentral:rRNA from 1 species